rnacentral:rRNA from 1 species
CAGCCGCCGCGGUAAUACAGAGGGUGCGAGCGUUAAUCGGAUUUACUGGGCGUAAAGCGUGCGUAGGCGGCUUUUUAAGUCGGAUGUGAAAUCCCCGAGCUUAACUUGGGAAUUGCAUUCGAUACUGGGAAGCUAGAGUAUGGGAGAGGAUGGUAGAAUUCCAGGUGUAGCGGUGAAAUGCGUAGAGAUCUGGAGGAAUACCGAUGGCGAAGGCAGCCAUCUGGCCUAAUACUGACGCUGAGGUACGAAAGCAUGGGGAGCAAACAGG